rnacentral:lncRNA from 1 species
CAUGUCAGUCAUAUGAACUUGCCUAACCUGAGUCCACCUCUGAAAGCCACAUCUCUCGGGGGAACUGAUUAUGGGUAUCUGAACCUGCAGGCUGAGAACACCAUACAUGAAAUUCACCAAAGCAGGUCCCAUGGGAGACAUCAAGCUGGCCUUCUCCUGAAGGAAAAUGUUUCUCAGAACCAUGACCCUCUGGCCCAUCACCCCCCAACCCUCCACCACAUAAAGCUGACUUUCCUGUACAUCUGCCAGAACUACAUCACCCUAAUUGCAAAGAAAGAUGGAAAAGUGAACGUAUGUCAUUUAAACCUCCAUCAUGGGAAGCCUACUUGGCCUCAAAGAAAAGAGAAGAAAUGACUGUGGAAGCUUUCCCUACUUUCAGAUUUACAGAGGGGGCCAUGUGAGAAGACUGUAGCUGAAGUAAUCUUGAACAGUGGUGAAGAGCAAGGAAUCUGUAGCAAAAAGGCCUGGAUUCAAAAUCUGGCUCAGCCACUCAGUAACUGUGUGACCCCAGCAGAGUCGUUUAACCCCUGGAGCCUUGGUUUCCUCCUGAAAAAUGAGGAUGAAAAUACCCCUUCCCCACUGUCCUGCAAAUGAAGCCAGUAGCACAAAAUGUUACCAAAUGAAAGUGUACCACACAGAUCUCCUGCUGCUAGAGCAUAAUUAACUGAUGGCCACAGCUGCUGCCCACUGGGAUCCACCACACUUCCACAGUGUGGCUUCCAACCAAUGACUGAGCAUGGAGAGGUCUGAAGACAGCCUCCUUCCAGCAAGACAUAGGAUGCAAGGGCUCCUUGGCUGAACAUUUCUUGGAACAGUGUUGCAGUCUGAGAGUCAUCCCAUCCACCCUUCCUUCCUUCCCUCUCUCCUUCCACAGAUGCCAGACCUGUGAUACAGUCUCUUCUCGCCUUUCUUCCUUCCUGCUUUUCCUUGCACAUCUAAUCCCAUCUUGGUGUCUGUCUCAGCAGAUCUAGACAAUAGCACCAGAUCUGGUGAAAGAGGGGACUGGUCAAUCUAAUACAUGUUCAAGGCAAAAGCUACAACUGGCUGUAAAAUGAAUAAGAUGAAUUUUCUUGUGUAACUGAUAAGAAGAGUUCAGUGAAUAUUGGUUAACUAUCAGAUGAAAUCAGGCACUUUCAACGUGGUAUGGCCAUAGACAAAUAUCGGGUAACUAUCAAAUGA